rnacentral:rRNA from 1 species
AUCGCCUUACGGGACGCAGCAGUGAGGAAUAUUGGUCAAUGGACGAGAGUCUGAACCAGCCAAGUAGCGUGAAGGAUGACUGCCCUAUGGGUUGUAAACUUCUUUUAUAUGGGAAUAAAACGUUCCACGUGUGGGAUUUUGUAUGUACCAUAUGAAUAAGGAUCGGCUAACUCCGUGCCAGCAGCCGCGGUAAUACGGAGGAUCCGAGCGUUAUCCGGAUUUAUUGGGUUUAAAGGGAGCGUAGGUGGAUUGUUAAGUCAGUUGUGAAAGUUUGCGGCUCAACCGCAAACU